AUACUAACCUGGCGUAGGGGAUACCAUGAUCAAUAUGGUGGUUCCCCCGGGAGUGAGGCAUGACUGCUGAACCCUGUAAAUAUCCCUAACGUGGGUAUUUGUGCGUUUAAUUUUUGGUAGUGCGGGGCUCUUGCGGUCGCGCAGUCCCCGC
rnacentral:snRNA from 1 species